GAUGAACGCUGGCGGCGUGCCUAAUACAUGCAAGUAGAACGCUGAAGGAAGGAGCUUGCUCUUUCCGGAUGAGUUGCGAACGGGGGAGUAACGCGUAGGUAACCUGCCUGGUAGCGGGGGAUAACUAUUGGAAACGAUAGCUAAUACCGCAUAACAGUAGAUGUUGCAUGAUAUCUACUUAAAAGGUGCAAUUGCACCACUACCAGAUGGACCUGCGUUGUAUUAGCUAGUUGGUGAGGUAACGGCUCACCAGGGCGACGAUACAUAGCCGACCUGAGAGGGUGAUCGGCCACACUGGGACUGAGACACGGCCCAGACUCCUACGGGAGGCAGCAGUAGGGAAUCUUCGGCAAUGGACGGAAGUCUGACCGAGCAACGCCGCGUGAGUGAAGAAGGUUUUCGGAUUGUAAAGCUCUGUUGUAGGAGAAGAACGAGUGUGAGAGUGGAAAGUUCACAUUGUGACGGUACCUUAACAGAAAGGGACGGCUAACUACGUG
rnacentral:rRNA from 1 species